rnacentral:rRNA from 1 species
UACGAAGGAUGCAAGCGUUAUCCGGAUUCAUUGGGCUUAAAGGGAGCGUAGGUGGCCUUAUAAGUCAGUGGUGAAAUCUCUCGGCUUAACUGAGAAAUUGCCAUUGAUACUGUAGGGCUUGAGUACAGUUGCUGUGGGCGGAAUAUGACAUGUAGUGGUGAAAUACAUAGAGAUGUCAUAGAACACCGAUUGCGAAGGCAGCUCACAAAACUGUAACUGACACUGAGGCUCGAAAGUGCGGGGAUCAAACAGG